rnacentral:rRNA from 1 species
GGGUGCAAUCAUACCAACACUGAUGCUUUGAAUCACAUCAAAACUCCACAGUGAAGCAUGCUUUGGCGAGAGUAGUAUUAGGAUGGGUGACCUCUUGGAAAGUCUUGAUGUUGUACAAC